AAAGCAACAAUGAGUUGACGUGAACCUGAUGUUAACCUGGAAGUUUUUGUUUCUGCUGGGAGUGUGCCUUGGACCUUUCCUGCUCAGGUAACUUCUGAAACAAAGGCUCUUAGACCUUGAAUGAACUGGCGGGAGGGGCCCUGUGCCCUUGCCUUGAUGCCGCUCGGCCUGGGAACAAAUGGAAUGCCUUCUGCCGAGGCCGAUGUGGAGAUGUGUCCUGCCUCAACGCACUCGAGACGGGCAGUUCUCAUGUUCUGCUGCGGAGCUGCAAGCCAAGACCCACGCAGCCACGGAGCCCCGCAGCCACGAGGCUGGUGAUGCAACGUAACCCGGCGUAACCCCACUUGACUUCACGCAACAGGGAUGUCUCCCGUGCCGCUCGCCGGGGACGGCGGGCUGCGCAAGGAGCUCUUCUGGACUCCAAACGUGGCUUUAGCGGGAGGGCUUGGAGAAGGUGCUGCAGCAGGACUCCAGGGGAUGGGCACCAGCAAGGAAGCACCCGUGGUAACCCUGUGAUCUCCUCCCAUGCCUGCAAAUUUAAGGGAAAAUGCUGUCAAAUGUUACUCUGCCUCAGCCCAUGCGAUGCUGCCAUCGCUAAUGCUUUAAAAAGGAG